GGAGAAGGAGGAUCGGGCUGCUUUCUUUUUGUAUUGAGGUAGACUAAAUAAAGUGCUGGUACUGGAUCAGAGGUUAUAGGAGGUGGGAACAGCCGAGGAGAGCAUUUUGUUUAGGUAGGGUGGGAGUUUCCCAGAAAAGCUCUUAAACACAAGGCUGGAAAGAUGAAGGGUGCGUCUGGAUUCCAGCGACAGACAGUUUAGUUCUUUUAGCAUGCCACAAU
rnacentral:lncRNA from 1 species